rnacentral:snoRNA from 1 species
GACAGUGGUGUGGGCGAUUUUUCAAGUAUCCCUUGUAUCUAUCCCAAGCUUGGAAAAAAUAUUUGACAUUUUUUAAAAUAAAUUCAAAAAUCUUGCCUCUGAGCUC